rnacentral:piRNA from 1 species
UGGCAGGAGGUUGUCCUAAACUCAAUGC